rnacentral:tRNA from 1 species
AAGAACUUAAGUUAUAUAUAAACUAUUAACCUUCAAAGUUGAAAUUAAUAAAUUUAGAUCUUA